rnacentral:rRNA from 1 species
CGUACACUCCUACGGGAGGCAGCAGUGGGGAAUAUUGCACAAUGGGCGCAAGCCUGAUGCAGCGACGCCGCGUGGGGGAUGAAGGCCUUCGGGUUGUAAACUCCUUUCGCUAGGGACGAAGCUUUUUUGUGACGGUACCUAGAUAAGAAGCACCGGCUAACUACGUGCCAGCAGCCGCGGUAAUACGUAGGGUGCGAGCGUUGUCCGGAAUUACUGGGCGUAAAGGGCUCGUAGGUGGUUUGUCGCGUCGUCUGUGAAAUUCUGGGGCUUAACUCCGGGCGUGCAGGCGAUACGGGCAUAACUUGAGUGCUGUAGGGGUAACUGGAAUUCCUGGUGUAGCGGUGAAAUGCGCAGAUAUCAGGAGGAACACCGAUGGCGAAGGCAGGUUACUGGGCAGUUACUGACGCUGAGGAGCGAAAGCAUGGGUAGCGAACAGGAUUAGAUACCCGUGUAGUCCCAU